rnacentral:rRNA from 1 species
AACGAACGCUGGCGGCAGGCUUAACACAUGCAAGUCGAACGCCCCGCAAGGGGAGUGGCAGACGGGUGAGUAACGCGUGGGAACAUACCCUUUCCUGCGGAAUAGCUCCGGGAAACUGGAAUUAAUACCGCAUACGCCCUAUGGGGGAAAGAUUUAUCGGGGAAGGAUUGGCCCGCGUUGGAUUAGCUAGUUGGUGGGGUAAAGGCCUACCAAGGCGACGAUCCAUAGCUGGUCUGAGAGGAUGAUCAGCCACAUUGGGACUGAGACACGGCCCAAACUCCUACGGGAGGCAGCAGUGGGGAAUAUUGGACAAUGGGCGCAAGCCUGAUCCAGCCAUGCCGCGUGAGUGAUGAAGGCCUUAGGGUUGUAAAGCUCUUUCACCGGAGAAGAUAAUGACGGUAUCCGGAGAAGAAGCCCCGGCUAACUUCGUGCCAGCAGCCGCGGUAA